UCAUUGAUGUCGUCAACAAGGCCUUCGCUAAGUACCGUAAGAAAAGCAAAAUCCAUAGACCUUUUUGGGGAGACUUCACUGUAGAAGAGGCUAAAUACAUCCUCAAGCAGCCUCCGGGCAACGAUCACUGUGGGUUCUAUGUAAUGCAUUAUAUGCACUGCUACACCGGCGAUUGCAGAAGCGCCGAAAUGAACACUGAGUUGGAUUCACGUGAAUUGCUCAUGGGCGAGCUAGUAGCACUUCAAGAAGAACUAGCUGGAUGGCUUGUGGACUACGUGGUGAAGCCAGGAUCUGAGUACAGCAUAAUCUAGGUGUAAUGUCUAGAUCGUAUCGUUCUUGUCAAGCAUUGUAAUAUAUUUGGUGUAUGGACUAGAUGUUCUUAAACUUGAUGCGUGGACUCUAUAUUUUUUAUUAUGAUGUUUGAACUCUCUCAUUUGAUUUCUUCCAUGUCUACGAGAAUUUAUGCAAAGGACCAAAGAAUCUGUGGUCGUGGUUUAUCAAUGAUGAAGUUGCAGAUAAUGUUUGUACUUCUAAUUCUACCUUGCUUUCACUAGCACUGGCUCUGGUUGCCUUCUCUUAUUUGCAUCGCACCCAGGAUUGAUCAUAUAAGCCAUGUGCUUGCUUUAAAGUUUUAAUAGUUUAUCGCCUUGGCUAUCAACAAUACUCUGUAACUGUUCUAUCUAAUAUCAUGCAACUUUUCUUACCAGGUUAUCUUUCUGCUUGAGUUCAUAAAGUUUGAAGACAAGUCUGUAGCGUGGAAAAGUGGUGGUCCAGGUUUGC